rnacentral:rRNA from 1 species
GUGCCAGCAGCCGCGGUAAUACGGAGGGUGCGAGCGUUGUCCGGAAUCACUGGGCGUAAAGGGCGCGUAGGUGGCCCGUUAAGUGGUCGGUGAAAUCCCGGAGCUCAACUCCGGGGCUGCCGAUCAGACUGGCGGGCUCGAGCACGGUAGAGGCAGAUGGAAUUCCCGGUGUAGCGGUGGAAUGCGUAGAUAUCGGGAAGAAUACCAGUGGCGAAGGCGUUCUGCUGGGCCGUUGCUGACACUGAGGCGCGACAGCGUGGGGAGCAAACAGGAUUAGAAACCCUCGUAGUCC